CUCUUAUCAAGAGUGGUGGAGGGACUGGCCCGAUGAUACCCGGCAACCUGCAGAGAUUAUUCUGUACUGGUGCCAAAUCCUGCAAAGGCAAAACACUUUGACAGAUAAGAG
rnacentral:ncRNA from 2 species